CCCUUAGAUGUUCUGGGCCGCACGCGCGCUACACUGAUGCAUUCAACAAGCCUAGCCUUGACCGAGAGGUCCGGGUAAUCUUUGAAACUGCAUCGUGAUGGGGCUAGAUUAUUGCAAUUAUUAAUCUUCAACGAGGAAUGCCUAGUAAGCGUGAUUCAUCAAAUCGCGUUGAUUACGUCCCUGCCCUUUGUACACACCGCCCGUCGCUCCUACCGAUUGAAUGUGUUGGUGAGGAGCUCGGAUUGGCAGCAGUUGGUGGUUCGCCACCGGCUAUUGCUGAGAAGUCCUCCAAACCGCACCAUUUAGAGGAAGGAGAAGUCGUAACA
rnacentral:rRNA from 1 species